AUUGAACGCUGGCGGCAGGCCUAACACAUGCAAGUCGAGCGGAGCGGCGGACGGGUGAGUAAUGCCUAGGUAUCUGCCUGGUAGUUGGGGCUAACGUCCGGAAACGGGCGCUAAUACCGCAUACUAUCAGAUGAGCCUAGGUCGGAUUAGCUCGUUGGUGGGGUAAAGGCCUCACAAGGCGACGAUCCGUAACUGGUCUGAGAGGAUGAUCAGUCACACUGGAACGGAGACACGGUCCAGACUCCUACGGGAGGCAGCAGUGGGGAAUAUUGGACAAUGGGCGAAAGCCUGAUCCAGCAAUGCCGCGUGUGUGAAGAAGGUCUUCGGAUUGUAAAGCACUUUAAGUUGGGAGGCGGUACCAACAGAAUAAGCACCGGCUAACUACGUGCCAGCAGCCGCGGUAAUUC
rnacentral:rRNA from 1 species